UGGGGAAUAUUGGACAAUGGGGGCAACCCUGAUCCAGCAAUGCCGCGUGUGUGAAGAAGGUCUUCGGAUUGUAAAGCACUUUCGACGGGGACGAUGAUGACGGUACCCGUAGAAGAAGCCCCGGCUAACUUCGUGCCAGCAGCCGCGGUAAUACGAAGGGGGCUAGCGUUGCUCGGAAUGACUGGGCGUAAAGAGCGUGUAGGCGGUUUACACAGUCAGAUGUGAAAUCCCCGGGCUUAACCUGGGAGCUGCAUUUGAUACGUGUAGACUAGAGUGUGAGAGAGGGUUGUGGAAUUCCCAGUGUAGAGGUGAAAUUCGUAGAUAUUGGGAAGAACACCGGUGGCGAAGGCGGCAACCUGGCUCAUGACUGACGCUGAGGCGCGAAAGCGUGGGGAGCAAACAGGAUUAGAUACCCUGGUAGUCCACGCUGUAAACGAUGUGUGCUAGAUGUUGGGUAACUUUGUUAUUCAGUGUCGCAGUUAACGCGUUAAGCACACCGCCUGGGGAGUACGGCCGCAAGGUUGAAAC
rnacentral:rRNA from 1 species